UCCCAUGUGGUGUAAUGGUUAACAUUUGACGCUCUCAAUCAGAGCAGCGCUCCCGUCAGGCUCCGAGUUCGAUUCUCGGCGUGGGAA
rnacentral:tRNA from 1 species